rnacentral:rRNA from 1 species
GUUGACCUCGGAUCAGGUAGGGAUACCCGCUGAACUUAAGCAUAUCAAUAAGCGGAGGAAAAGAAACCAACAGGGAUUGCUCUAGUAACG